ACUGGAGGACCAAGAAGGUUGAGUCUGAGGAAGGAAGACAUCGCUGAUAUACUUCUCCUAAAUAAAAGAGUUGGUGAGAACAGCUCUCAUUGGAGAAAAUCUCAGGGCUGAGUGUUCGGCCCAUUGUAC
ensembl:scaRNA